GCGUUGUCCGGAAUCAUUGGGCGUAAAGAGCGUGUAGGCGGCCCGAUAAGUCCGCUGUGAAAGUCCAGGGCUCAACCCUGGGAUGCCGGUGGAUACUGUCGGGCUCGAGUCCGGAAGAGGCGAGUGGAAUUCCUGGUGUAGCGGUGAAAUGCGCAGAUAUCAGGAGGAACACCAAUGGCGAAGGCAGCUCGCUGGGACGUGACUGACGCUGAGACGCGAAAGCGUG
rnacentral:rRNA from 1 species